rnacentral:rRNA from 1 species
UAGGGAAUCUUCCACAAUGGACGAAAGUCUGAUGGAGCAACGCCGCGUGAGUGAUGAAGGGUUUCGGCUCGUAAAACUCUGUUGUUGGAGAAGAACAGGUGUCAGAGUAACUGUUGACAUCUUGACGGUAUCCAACCAGAAAGCCACGGCUAACUACGUGCCAGCAGCCGCGGUAAUACGUAGGUGGCAAGCGUUGUCCGGAUUUAUUGGGCGUAAAGCGAGCGCAGGCGGUUUCUUAGGUCUGAUGUGAAAGCCUUCGGCUUAACCGGAGAAGUGCAUCGGAAACCAGGAGACUUGAGUGCAGAAGAGGACAGUGGAACUCCAUGUGUAGCGGUGAAAUGCGUAGAUAUAUGGAAGAACACCAGUGGCGAAGGCGGCUGUCUGGUCUGUAACUGACGCUGAGGCUCGAAAGCAUGGGUAGCAAACAGGAUUAGAUACCCUGGUAGUCCAUGCCGUAAACGAUGAGUGCUAAGUGUUGGAGGGUUUCCGCCCUUCAGUGCU